rnacentral:rRNA from 1 species
UAGGGAAUCUUCCGCAAUGGACGAAAGUCUGACGGAGCAACGCCGCGUGAGUGAAGAAGGUCUUCGGAUCGUAAAACUCUGUUGUUAGGGAAGAACAAGUAUCGUUCGAAUAGGGCGGUACCUUGACGGUACCUAACCAGAAAGCCACGGCUAACUACGU